ACUUGAGAUCUUCCUGCCUCAGCUUCCCGAGCCGCUGGGAUUACACGUGUGCACCACUGUGUCAUCCAGUAUGACUUACUGUCUUAAAUUCAAUUUUAUUAUCUAUAAAAACAAUCUCUUAACAAUAGUUGCACUAUAAAGUCAUUCUUAAAAAAGUCAUUCUUAGAUUAAAUUAUCUGCAAAGUGCAUAAUAGUGCCUGCUGUAUAGCAAUAUGAGCUAAUGCUUAAUGAGCACUGCAUGCCAGACACUGUUCUGAACAUGUAUUAUAUGUACUGAUUACCCGUAGUUAUUCUUCAUAACAAGUCCACAGAACAGGUAUUAUUAACAUGCCACUUACAGAUGGAAAAACAGGCACACACAGGUUAAGUAACUUGCCCAAGGUCACAGAACCUAAAGUGAUGGGGCCAGAAUUCAAAGCCAGAUAGCUUGGUAUCGGAGUUCCUGCUUCUAUCCAUUAUGUUACACUGACCAUAAACUUCCAGUAAAGAAAUCUUAGCAACUAUUAACUAUUUUAUUAUGAUCACUAUGAAGCAGAUUGAGAGGGUUAAGUGACUUUCAAAUUUCACAAGUAUAUGUGGCAGAGCCUCUGCAGUGUGAGCCUUAGUUGUGUGGUUCCCAAACUCAUGUUUGUUCUGUUUUAUUCCUUUAAAGUAAAAGGCCCAGAGGUGCUUAUCUAGUGAUAAUAUUUAUAUGGAAGCAUCUUGGCAGAUUAUUCAGAACCACUAGGACUUGGCAUAGAAAAGAUAACAUGGUGACAAGUCAUAUUUGCCACAACAGGAACAAGGACCUCAGUGAAGCAGGAGCAUCUGUAUCACUUAGUGACAGAAAGGGAAGAGGAGAACAUGAAUGUGCAUAGCAACUCUGUAAUAGCCCCACGCUGGAAAUGAUGCAGCUCUUAAAUGAGUAAACAGUUUGUGGUAUGUCCAUACCAUGGAUUGCUCUCAGCAAUUAAAGGAACACAUUAUUGGUACAUGUAAGAACUUGGAUGAAUCUCAGGGGAUUAUGUAGAGUGAAAGAAAAUCUAAUCACAAAAAGGUUACAUAUUGUAUAAUUCCCAUUUAUAUAACUAACAUGAAAAAAUGAUAUAAAUGGAGAAUAGAGUAAUAGUUUCCAGGGUUAGGGAUGGGGUGGGAAAGAAAGACAAUAGGUAUCGUUUUAAAAGGGCAACAGGAGGGAUCUGGAGAUGGAGUGUCUUUACUGUGAUUGACACAAACCUAUACAUGGUAGUGUAAAUUUAAAUGCAGACACACAAGUACCCCACAAAUGAGAACAAGGAAAACUAAGGAGUCUGAGUAAGAUCAGUGGAUCAUUAUCAAUGCCAGUAUCUGGGUUGUGAAACUAGUUUUUGUAAGAUGUGAUCUUUGGGGGAAAUUGAGUAAAGAAUACACAGAUAUCUGUUUCUGUGUGGGAAUCAACUAUCAUCUCAAUAAAUAUUUUAACUUUAAAAAAAGGAGGAGAGCUUUGGGCCAAGGGAACCAAAGAAUCAAGAAGUGUUACCCACUUUCUGGGAGAAUUUAACAAAAACCCAGUGGUUCAUGUCCUCAUUACAGGGACUCUUGUAGAGGUGACAGGUGGGCUCAAUCUGCCUCUCACUAGGCAAGUGCUUUGGUAGCAGAUUUGUAAGUGGGAUGAGAUAGUGCAGGAGGAUUUUGAAGUUUUGUAAUGGAUUCCUAUCAUUUUUUAUUGAAAUCCACCAAUUCAAUAGAAAAGAUGCUUGCAGAAUUGUCCCUAAUAUCAUUAAAGCCAUAUUCUGAUUCAAAUAGGCAAGGAAACUCUUCAUAUUAAAUAAGAGCUAAACAAAGGUUUUGACAGAAGCUACCCGGGACAGUUGGGUUCUAAUGUAGAUUGGUCUUGGCUUAGCCUCUACCUCACAGGAUUUAUACUGAGGCACUUUAUAUGAAAGCAUCUGGGUAGAUUAUUCUGAACCACUAGGACUUGGCAUAGAAAAGACAGCAUGGUCUUCACAAUAACUCUACAAAGCCAAAACUACUCUUCUAUCUCCACUUGUUCUGCAGAGGUUAAGGCAUUAGCCUAAGGUCACAUUAGCCUAAGGUGGUGGAGUGGAUUCAACCCUAGUUCUGCUUAUGUUUAUGACCACCACAUUAACUUCUUCUUAUUUCUCAGUCAUCAAAAAGAGGAGAUUGGGCCAAGAGCUUUGGAUUCUCCAUGGCUUGAAUGAAUACUCAGUCAGUUAAUUUUGACCUGAGUGAGGUACAGCAGGUAGUAAAGAAAUAAGAAUAGCUAAUCUUGCUCUACAGGAUAUAGUAACAUACUAUAGAAAUGAUCCCUGAAAGUAUAGUCUUCCUACAGGAUAUAGGAUAAGACUGGGCAAGUUGAGUGAGAGAAGCAGACAUUACAGAGAGGGUAAUGGAAUAAUUUUUCAUUCUUGGAAGGGAUGUGACCUACUUAGGACUUCCCAGUAUAUCUUAAUUGUGAAAAAUAAGCCCCUUCUCUCUAAUAGAGAUUAGGCUGUCUGAAGAGUCCUGUUGGAUGAAUGCAUAUUCUUAGCUUGUUUCUUUUGAUUACCUAAAAUACAGGCAGUGGGAAGAUAAAACACCUAUGUGCUGGCUCAUUCAAAUUCAUAGAGCUCACCUGAAAAAGAAAUGGGUGCUGUUCAGAAACCACAGAAAGGAAACCCAGGAUUCACUAAAGGUUGAAGGUGGAAGAGAGAUGCCAAGACCCAAAGUCAGAGAGGAGAGAAUGCAGAGUAGCAAAAACAAAACAAAGACUGUUGAAGUUUGUAUCUUCUGCAUCUCAUAGUUGUUUGGGUUCAAUGAGACUUUGGGAGGGAGGUUCUUGAUUCUUUUAUAUCUUCAGGGUUUGUAUGGACACUCAAAUGGGAUUGGGGUGAGGGACUAUAGCUACUUAGUGCAGGUAGACCCAUCAGCCGUCAGAGACCACUGAAAAUCUACAGUGGCUUGCAAGCCUCCCUUGCUCACUCAUCCUAGGGAGGCAGAACAGCAAAAUGUUGACAAGCAAGAGUGAAGUCUGGAGCCUGGCUCCACCUCUUUCUGUGAACUGUGAACUGACUGUGAACUGACUGUGAACUGUGUGUCCACUUUUUCUGCAUCUUUUUAAUCUGUAAAAUGGGUAGUACUUGCUUCAGGGGGUUGGGUGAGGUGAUGAACACAUGUUCUUGGCACAGUGCCUGGCCAUAGUGCUCACUCUGUUCAUUUAAGUUAUGAUUAUGACUACAAGAUGGCAGGGGAUAUUUUGCAGCUUAAAAAGCAUUCUGCUAUUCUGCUGGCCAGAUAUUCUCUGUCUUACAUGGUGGCUGAGUAAAGAAACUGGGCUUCUUGCCUUAGUCCUUUAGCUUUUCUUUCUGAUCCUCAGUUUCCUUAAACAAAUCAUGAAUAGAGCUAUCUCAUCAGCAGGUCCUUGCUGAUGCAGGCAAGGUCAUACAGUGUCUAGUAACAAUGAUGUCACCUUCCAUUUUUAUCAGAUUUUUAAGGAAUUUUACAUAACUAGUUCCACUCCCGUUUUAAGAUGGGGCAACUGAGGGCUGUGGAAGUCAGGAGGAGUGUCCACAGUCACUUGACCCUUAGGUGGCUAUGCUGAAACAUGUACCUUUGGAAUUUUUUGUUGCAGGGAAGGGGCACUCACCUUCAUCUCACACAACAGAUAAAGCCCUCCUCUUUGGACCAGGCAAACAUCUCUCAGUUGACAGGAGAUAUUUUCACGUCUCAGGGCUUUCCUAACUUCCUUACAAACCCAAGUAGGCUGUGCCUCCUCUGUCCAGGUGAGAGGCCAACUAUGGUGCAAAUAGUGAAGACUUGAUUGUAGUUAGAGGACACUGAGACACUACUCUGAAGGAGCUGCUUUCUUAUGUCAUUUUCUGAUUUCCUGUAGCACAGUGCUCAGACUACCAGCUCUGAGGUCAAAUUGAUAAGGAUUCAAAUUCCAACUAAGGUACUUCCUGCUGUGUUUUCUGGGUCAGCUCUCUGGACUCCACUUCCUCACUUAUAAAAUGGAAUAAGUGAGCACAUAACUUUACAGGGAUGUUGUGAAUUUACUAUUCAUGCAUCCAUAUAGCUGUCUACUCAAUUUGUCGGUGCCAGUGUGAAAUGAAAAUGUCGGGUACCUGUUCAAAAGCAGGAAAAAAGACUUUUCCUUUUUUUUCCCAUGGUUCCUUUCUUGGCUCAUCAUGCUAUUUUUUUUAUUUGCUAUUAAUGUCCUCCCUCAGGUACAAGGAUACUUGCCUGGUAAGUACCUGAGAUCCUACCUUAGGACUGGGCCAUGCAUGAAAGAAAGCUCCAAGUCCUCAGCUAGUCCUUGUUCCUUUGGACUUCACUUAAAUUCAAAGAUGUUAUUGAACAUUACAAGAUGGAACUACAGAGGUGAAUUCCUCAGAUAAUGCUUUUCUGAUUGCGGACUUGUGACAAUACUGCUCGCGUGCCCAUGAAGCUGGAUCUGAAUGUACCUUCAAAGCAUUUAGUAAUCUCUGGCCUGUAAUCACAGCAGGAAGUACCUUAGUUGGAUUCAGUAAAUGAUCAGUAGAGAAGACCAGUUUUACUUGCUUACUCAAGAGCCCUGUAGCUCAAGCUUUCACUUGAGAUUUGCAUCUCUAGUCUGGCUCAGGGAAGAGUCAGAGAAGGUUUUAUUAACAACUUUGUUCAAAUGGGGAAACUGAGGCCCAGAGAGGGAAUGGAGUUUGGCUGUAAGCCUUGUCAUUAGUAACAGAGCCAGAAUUCAAUGGCAAUCUCUAGACUACCGGUCAAUGCUGAACAUCUUGAGCUCAGAACCCUCUCUGGACCUUGUUACCUGGGGAUGAUGAGUGGCAACGGGAUUGCAACCUCAGCCUCAAUCCCUUAUAUAGCUUUGCAAACCUGGUUCAAUACAAGCCACCUCUGAAAGCCUUUCCUGCUAAGAAUGUCUUUUAGUUUUCUUUCAUAUACACAUUCAUCCAAAAUUCACUCAUAUGGAAUAGAGGGUUUUUUCCCAUAUGCAGAUUUUUUGAUUGUGUUGAGAAUCAGUAUGCAGACAUUUCAAUUUGUGUACAAUUCUUAACACAUGCCCCGAAAAUCUAAAAGCCUUGUAUUGGGAUUCUUUUUCAGUUAUUCCAGUGAAUUUCCAGUUUCAACUUUGGAGGCAAAUUUUCCUUAAGAGAAUAUCAAGUACCAAUAUCUUCAAAUGCUGCUGUUACAUAAGACUCACCAAUUCACAUUUUUAUAUCAUAUCCAUUUGAUACUGAAGUAUUUUAAAAAUAUUUCACAGUACAUUAGCAAAAUUAUUGAGAAACUGGACUAUUAUAACUAAAGAUGUCACAGAGAACACAAGGACAAUGAUCAAGGAGUGGUUUUCUUUAGGAAAUAAUUCUACUAAAAACAACAUGGAAAUAAAAACAAUUAAAAAUAUUCAAGUCAUAAAAUGAAAGACCAUGACUCUAAAUAGUUUAGUAUACUUUGUAUUGUAGAAUAUAAAAUUAACCUCCUACCAAUGCUAGGUGAAGCCAACACCCAAGACAGUCAAAGCCUCUCCUAAUUCAAUAUCCAUGAUUUUCUUGUUGUGGCAAAAAAGAAGCUACCAGUGGAUGAUCUCACCUCUGGAAAAAAAAAUUAUACUUAAAAGAUGAGAUGAAGUGAGAUUCCCUUUUUUAAAAAAAUGUUUCUGUAGUUACUAAAAAAAACUUUACAAAACAGUUUCCUCUGGAUUAUGCAAGAUGGGACCAUUGGUUAGACAUGAUAUGUGAUUUAAUCACCUUUGGCUUAUUUCUCUUUGGCUCCAUCAGAGGCUGAACUCUCCUGGACUUUAGUUUCUCUUUUUUUUUUUCUGUAGGCAAAUCUUUAUUUUCUUCAUUAGUCACUCACUUAGCUUGCUUAGUCUGUUUUCUCUGUUGUUUAUACUGUUUUGGGCAAAGAUUUCUUUUCUGCUACCUUUUUUGGCUUUGUUUCUCCUUUUGCAGGAGCAGGAUUAACUGACAACCUUGAUCUCCUCUUGGGCCCUUCCUUUACCACCCUUGGCCUGAGAUGACUUUCUCUUGGGCAUCUUGGUGGCUUGGAGGAUAUGUGUAGAUGCCUGCAGGCCAUAGUGCCUGGCACUGCCACUCCUAAUGAGUGUUAGUGGAACCGAAGUAUAGCUAUUUGUUUUAUUUCAUAUUUUAGUAUGGACUGGAAUAGAGCUUUCUGUUCUGUUUUAUUUUGUGGUAUUGUGGGUUGACCCUCAGGCCUUGAACAGGCUAGGCAAGUGCUCUCCAACUGAAUUACAUCUCCAGCCUUUUAAAAAAAUAAUUUGAGACAGGGUCCAGCUCAAUUGCCCAGGCCAACCUUCAACUCACCAUCCUCCUGCCUCAGCCUCCAAGAAGCUGGGAUUGCAGGUGUGUACCACAAUGCCUGGCAGAAUUUUAUUCCCUAUGCUUUUUGUAUUACUAAACAUUAUGAGAAUUCUAUGGACAUUCAUUUUCAUAAUUUUAUGACAUUCUAUUUUAGGAGAGCUACAUAACCUAUUCAACCAAUUCCUUGUUUCUUCACACUCAGGUUGUUUCCAUAGUUUUCAGUUACUGAAAGACAGUGGAACAAGUUGUUAAGAGCACAUGCGCUAGAGAAACACUGGGUAUAAAUCUAGGUUAACUGUGUGACUUUGAGUGAGUUAGUUUGUGUCUUAGAGCCUCAGCGUCUUUGCCUGUGAACUCAGUACAAUCUUAGUAUAUAGCUCGUGGGUUUCAUGAGGAUUAAAUAAACUUGAAAAAGAACCAAACAAGUAUGUGCCAUAUAUGAGUUAGCUUAUUCUGUUAACUUUGAUAAUGCUCUAGUUGAUAUAAUUUUAUAGACAUCUUUGAAUGUAUGAGUGAUUAUGUCCUAGAAUUUGCAAUCCUGAAUCUGAGGGGUGAGCAUUCUCAGGCCAGCAUAGACAAGGAGAUCCAAGGGACUAGAGGCCAGGACAAGUUUGGGAUAGAGCCCCAGGCUUUGGCAGGAAAUGAUUGUCAUGAACUGACUUAUGCUUAAAGACAUUUGGACAGCAACUUUUUCCACUUCAGGGCUGAAAACGGGAAUGGUAGAGAGCAUAACAAGCUUCAAGUGGACCCCAGAGAAUCUUAGAUGACCCAGAGGAAAGAGACAGAGACAUACUCCCACCAGCUCCAGAAUGCUAAGUUGGUGAGCACUGAAGAAAGAAAUCUCUGUCGAGAUGGAUUCUGUCCUGAAGUAGGAAAGGCCAUAUGAGGACAUGCUGAGAAGGUACUCAUCUGUGAGUUAGGAAGAGAAGCCUCAGCAGAAAUAAGCUGUGGUGGCACUUCACCUUGGACUUACAGCCUUCAGAACGGAGAAAAUAAUGUUCUGUUGUUUAGGCUACCCAGGCUAGGGUGGUUUGCUAUGGCAGCUUAGUAGACUAUGACAGCCUCUUAAUGAGGUUAGACUUUUUUCCAAAACAGAAGUCAAGGGAAGAGUUAUUUUGCUGAUGGUCCUGCUGCUCCUUCUCUUUGUUCAGAAAUAUCCAAAGGUCUAAUGGGGAGAGUGAGGUGAGGUCCUCUACUGGUGAUGUUCAGAGAGAGAACACACCUUUAUCCUACCUUCAGUACCAAGGACAAAACACCAUUAAAUACCUAGCUAAUCGACCCUUCCGUUUUAUUCUUGGUUCUGUUUGCAAACAUGAACGUCAUGGAUCAGCCUGCAAUACAGUGCUUAAAGGAACAAGUGUUCUACCACUGAGUUAUAUCCCCAGCCCCAUGGUUUCAAAUUUAAGUCAAAGGGUUUUAGACUGUAUGAUCUCAAAUAUGACUCCUUUCUAGGUAGCAUAAUUUCAUAUUUCUCCAAUGAAUAUCAGUUUCCAGAAUGUCAUCCACCAAACAUGGUUCUUACAAAAACAAGUACUGAUCCUACUUAUUCCUUUAAGCACACUGAGUGCUCAGUCCCUAGCUCUGGGGGAGUCUCUCCAAGAUCUGACAUGAUAGGGAGGGAGGAACAAUGGAUGAUAGAACCCCAGAGGUAAGAAGAAAGGAGAUAUAGGCUCUACCAUCUGUGUUUAUGAAAAUACUUUCCAUAGGGUAACAAUAUUAAUCAUCAUCAUAAUAAAAUAAUUCUAUGGAAUGAAAUUAAGGGAAUGUUGGGUUUAAUUGAGGUAAGUUGUCGUCUUCCUUUUUUUUUUUUUGGCAGGUCUUCAUAUAGUCUUUAAUAUGUGAAUGUUCACUAUAAAUCUCAAGGGGAGGAUCCACACAAGUGGCACUUCACAAAUUAAGACCUAGCUUUCCACCAAGCAUCUUGUAGGAUCAGUGUUUCGUGGAUGACAUUCUGGAAACUGAUAUUCUUUGGAGAAAUAUGAAAUUAUGUGACCUAGCAAGGAGUCAUAUUUGAGAUCAUGCAGUCUGAAACCUUUUGGUUUAAGUUUGGGGCAACUGGGCUGGGGAUAUAGCUCAGUGGUAGAACCCUUGCCUAGAUCUUCUGCAAGGAGCUGGGUUUGAUUCCCCAGCACUGCAAAAACAAUAAAAAUAAAAACAAAAUUUGGAGAAAUUGAGCUCCAGGAAAAUAAAAGGAUUUACUAAGCCAGCCAGUAAGAGCCAGGGCUGGAAUCUAGGUCUCUUAAUUUUCAGGCUGGUAGUGUUAAAAUUAUUUUUAAAGGAGAAGUUUAUUUGGGGGUUAUAGUUUCAGAUGUGUCAGUCCGUGUUCAGCCAGCUCCAUUGUUCUGGAUUCAUGGAAGGCUCUGUGUUGGAAAGCUGCUCUCCUCAGGGUAGCUGGGAAGGAGAGAGAGAGAGAGAGAGAGAGAGAGAGAGAGAGAGAGCGCGAGAGAGCGCCAGGCUGGUGUUCUUACUUCUAUACCCAGCUGGAGACUUCCUGGUCAGAAAGUACUAGCCCUCGGGGUACUCAGACAGGCACCCCACUUUGACCUGCUCAGAUCUUUGAUGGUACUUAAUUGCAUUAGCAAGAGGGCUGGGAAAAUGCUCAGCAUCUUACCCAUUUUUUAAAAGAAAAAAAAUCAUUUUGCAUUUAAUAAAUCAGAUCCAAACCUAGUUUAUCCAGCACAUUUCUUGGUAAGAUUUGAAAGCCUCGGGGAAACUUAAUCCCACGUUUCUGAUUCAUCUUCAUUGGAGCUCAUCUAUUUUUAUUCUCUAAGUUGUUUCUCUGGCCCUUGCCCUCUGAGCUUUCUUCUAAUCUCUCUUCCCUCAGAAAUGAGGCAUUAUACUUGAACAGAUGGAAAGUUUCCCCGCCCCCAACCAUUAAACCUUCCCUAACCUUCUCAAAGAGAAUAAAACCCCCCAAACCUUAAACAGCCUUGGAAAUUCUUAACUACUUUUCAAAAUGGAGAGAUGCAUGUCAGAAAGCUGCAGAGGAGAAGAGCGUUUGGGAGAACAGAAUGGAAGUGAAUAAUGUUCCAAAAAUCAGGCCUGUGAAGAUCUGGGAUGAUUCAUCCUGAAAGAUGGCCAAAGGGUGAUUUAACAAUUCUGGCAGAAGAACUAUUGUUUCAGAGCCUGGGGACCAAUUCUUCCAAGAAGGGAACAGGAGGAAAGGGCUUAAAGCUACAGCUUGCAGGAAGUAGGUUAGACACCAAGAAGGGUGUUUUGAAUGGGUGGUCAUUAAUACAUUAGAGUGGGUGUGAAGGAUUUACAGAAUGGCCCCUGGGGCAGUGGAAAGAUCACACAGGUUAUAUAUCUUGUUUGAUUACUUUUGAGGUCUACAACCUUUGAUAAGGUACCAACCUUGAGACCCUGUGCCCCUGUUUAAGAAAAGUGGAGAUGACCUCUUCUUCUCAGCAUUGUCAGGAGAACGGGAUAACACAGGUCAUGUUUCUGGCUAACUUCAGGUACUCAGAACUGGUAAUCCUGUAUACAAUGAUGAGCUGGCAAUCCUGAUGAUGAUGGUAAGUGAUGAGUAUUAGGUCCCAUUCCCUCACCUUUAUAGUCUCAUCUGGGGGUGAAUUUCUAUGCUUGUAAACGACGCAGCAGCCAAGGGAGAGGUCUGGCUACUUAGGGUGCAGGUAAGAGCCUUGCUUCUCAGAAAUUCCUGGGCAUGGACUCUACUUCCCUCCCUCCUAGGAGAAAACACGAUAUCACUGAUGCCACAAUUAUUUCAAGGAUGAGGAGAGUCUAAGUCUAGAAAUAUCCCCUCACCUGGACCAUUAGAGGUAUAGGUAUAUUCUUUCUGAAUGGUGAUGUGGGGCUCUUGUAUGAAAAGUCUCUACUGUAGCUAAAAUUACCUCUCAGGUCAGGGAAGAGCUUACCUUUGGUGGAGAGAGUCAUCGUCAGUUAAAUGCCACCCCCUAGGAAAUUUGGGCCACAUAUGGGAUUUGAUAUCUUAUCUAUCACUCGGCACAGUCAUUUUGUCAUGGCUUCUGUUUCAUAUUAAAUUUUGGAAGAAUUUUUCAGUGGAUGUCAGUGUGCCGAGUUUUGUUUUGCCAAUACACAAUCCACCUGAAAAUCACUGUCCCAGCUACUUAGGGAGGAUAGUGUAGGAUAAGGGUCAAAGUGAGUGGUUAAGGGUAUAGACCCAGUUGGUGAAGGAUGGGGUCAGGACAGCCAGAGUAACCACAGGAAGCUUUUUGGAGGAGUGGAAAUUCUUUGAGUCUUUUAAGGAGUUCUACCUUAGGAAGGCAAAGCUUGCAGCAAGAGGUCACUAGGUGGGAUGACAGCUUGUACCAAAGUUUGAAGCUAGCAAUGAAUCAGUGGCUUGGAGUAGAUAUCAUUUAGGAGAGGAAUCAGAGAUGAGACUGGAUCAGGAGGUUGGGGGAGCUUCCUGGGUCCUUGAAAGUCACACCAACAUGGUGUUUGACCUUGAUAUCCUGGGCACAGGGGAACUACAGGAGAUUGGUAUGAACCCAAAUGAACUAUUCAGCAAGACUAUACAUAGCAAACUCAGUAUUUAAAUAGCUUCAUGGAGUAGAAAAUCUACCAAACGUUAGGAGAAAAUUGGUGGAAAAAUUCAAUCAUAAAAAUAAUUUGUAUUCACAGUGUAACAUUUAGAAAAUAUAAAAAAGUAUAGGAGGUAAAAUUUACUUAGUCCUAGUACUCCUAGGUAUUCUGAAGAAUCUGUUAUAGUUUUUCUUUUUAAAAUUUAUUUUUUUAACUUAGCUUAUACAUAUACAUAUAUAACUUGUAUAUGUAAAAUGUAUAUAUAGAUAUAUUCAGCUUUACAUAUUUUUUAAAAAGUGCUUUGCAAUAUAAGGUCUUUAUAAAUGCAAUAUCAACUGUAUCAUGAUAUUGUAAAGAUAUAGUAAAUCAUUUCCUGAUGGACAGAUAUUUGUUUAAAUUUUUUAAAAAUUUGUGAUAAAUGUAAAUUUUAUCAGUGUACCUGUAUUUAGAUUUGUUUGCAUCAAAGUAUAUGAUGUUUAUUAUUAACAUGUCUAUUAACUAUGUUUGAUCACAUUUAGCUACCCUUUACUUGUACAGGGUAUUCUAGGUUAAAAAGAAAUAUCUUCACUACAUUGAAAAAUAUGAAUAUUUUAACUUUCAUGUCUUUGAUACUUGUAAAGCUGAAUAUUUUCCCAUAUGUUUGUAUAUAAACUUCAAUGAAAUGCUUAAUAAUAGCUUUGGCCAGUAACUUAUAUUAGAAUUAUGGUAUUUUAUUGUUAUUAAGUUAUAUGUGUGUGUGUGUGAGUGUGUGUGUGUAUGGGUAGCAGAGAUUAAACCAAGAGCCUUGAGUGAGAUUUUUUUAAUGUAAUAAUACUUUUAAUGUCUAUUUUAUGAUAAAAUUUAUUUUUUAAAAUAAAAAUUAAGAUACAUCUUAAAAAAGAUUGUACAUGAGUCAUAAUCCAAUUAUCUAGACUUAAACACUGUUAUAUUGUAGUGAAUAUACUGCCAAAAUUCUUCUAAUCAUGCAUAUCUAUGGGUAAAAUGGGGGCACAUACCAAAAAAGAAAAAUGGAUGUACUUUUCCAUACUAUUUUGUAACUUUUAUUUCAUGUGUUAGACAGAAGAUGUCUUUCCUAUGCAAAUGGAUGUAAUUUAGACUUAUAUUGCUAUUUUUCCUAUUUGUAUCAUAAUUUAUUAUGUGCUAUAUCUUGUUUAUUUGAUCAAUCUUAAUAUUAAUUGCUAUGUUGAAAAGUUCCAUUUUUUUUUCUUCUAAACAUAUCUCUAGUGAAUAUAUUGUAAUUAUAACUAUAUGCCAUUGUCCUCUUACUUCCUAAGGAAAACUUCUGAGAAGUGGAGUUGCUGGGUCAUAGGGUGGAUGUAUUUAAUGUUUUGAUAUGUAUCACUGAACUGCUCUCUGUGAAGUAGUAAGACUCCUCACUCCCAUCCACCACACUGUUUCAAUACUACAUUACUAAUGAGGGAUGUUUGCAACCUUGCCAAUCUGACAGGUGAAAAUGUUUUUCAUUUGAUUUGUAUUUGUUUGUUUAUUGGAGAGAUCAAGAAGUUUUUAACUAAUCAAUAAUCUAUUUUGUAUUUUCUUGUCUGUAUGUGGUCCAAUUUUCCCUUGAAAUGUUUGUACAGAGACUUUGUUUUAAAUAUGACUUCCACAUAUUGUUCUUUUGAAAAAUAGUCAACUCCAACUAUUCUCAUCUGUAUCUUUUAUUUUCUGUGAUUUUCAGAUCAGAGGAUCUGAGGAGUAGUUUUUGAAUUACCUGUAAGAACAUAGAUGAGUUGAAAGAAGGAGAAAGGCUGAUGAUUUGGAGAAAAAGAUAUCCAGAAGCGGGCACAUGUUGGCAGGACUAUCAUAAGGAAAUAAGGGCAUUGGGCAAAAAAAUCAAGCUGUGGGUGGAGCAUAAAGAAAGAUUAGUUUGAAUUCUUUUUGAUUUUUAGGUGUUUUUUUUUGUCAAGAGUUACUUCCAUCAUUCUAAACAAUGGACAUGAAAAUCACCUCUUCAUUCCAUAUGUUAAUGGGUCAACAAUUUGUUCAGUUUCUUCCUUUGAAAUAUAUCUUGGAUUUGAACUUUCUUCUGUAUUUUCCCAACAGCAUUAUGAUUACUCUCACGUGUGUGUGUGUGUGUGUGUGUGUGUGUGUGUGUGUGUAUACCCAAACAGCUCUAGGAGGACUUUGCUUACCUUACUGACUUCAUGUCUUAGCAUCCAAAACACACCUCCAAACAGAGCAGAUACUUAAUUUGUAUAUUUUUAAAUGUUAUAUAUUUAAAAAUAUAUGUUAUAUAUUUUAAAAUGAAUAGAUGGAGUAAUCGGAAAGGAUGGGUGGUUUGACUGCACUCUAAGAAAGAAGUCAGUCUCUCAUCCUUUAUGCAUGUGUGCCUGAAACCCCUUGUGAAGAGAGACAGAUUUAAAAAAUGAAUUAUUUGUAGUAACAGUGAAGAUUGCUGCUGUAAGUAAUAGAAGGUGACAUGAAUUAGAUCAAACAAAUGGGGUAACUUUUUAUAAAGAUAUUGCUUGUUUUCAUUGAAAACACAGGCAGAGAAGCAGCUGGGUGCUAGCAAGGAACUAGAAUGAACUUUUCAGUCUCUUGUGUUUUUUCCUUUUCAAAUGUCUACUCUUGGGGAUUGUUUCUUAUUUACCCUGAAGUCCAGUUUUCUCUUCUUGGACAGAGGAUGCCAUAAUGCAGUCACCAUUAACUUUUGAAUCAGGAUCUCCUCCAUUGAAGACACUCUUUCUGAACUGAACAAGAAUCUCCCAGUCCCGCUUACAAAUUCCCAACAGAAAGGGCCAGCUGACUGUGACUUGGAGGCAGGGUCAUGUUGUUGAAGGGUGGAUGUGGGCAGAGACCAUGAAGGGGUCAACAGUGACUAUAAGCGGCCUGGCCUUGGGCUGGGUAGAACAAGUUGUCCUUUGCAGCUGAGCUCUAUUGAAUUUUCACCUUUAGAAUGUCCCAUCUGGGCUCUGCUCAUUUUGGUCAAAGAUUUCACAAAGGAUAUCCAGAAGCAGAUACAUGUUGUCAGGACUACCUAAGGAAAUAAGGGAGUUGGGCAAAAAUGUUAAUACAUGAACUUGGAAUUAGUGCCAACUUUUUUUUUUUUUGGUGGUAAUUUUUAUUAAGGACACAGCUCUCUACUUGGCCCUAAUAGUUCUUUUCAACUAGGAUGGCUAGAUUUGACUGGUGUCUAUUCCAGUUAUGUAUGUUCCAGCAAUGUUAAGGAUAAACUUACACUGAAAAAUUAUUCAUUGUUUGCCUUCAGUUGUAAUUUAACUGUGUGUCCAGUAUUUUAUCCGGCAACCCUACCCUAACAUCAUUAAUUAUAAGUGGAAAGGAAGGUAGGAGUAAGCUGAAAUAUGUUAAUUGUUAUUUCGAGGUUCCAGUGUUUGGGCACUUUUUAAUUCAUUGUCUAGAGCAUUAAAUUAUAAGUUAUUUAUUGUCUUGGUGCAUAUUCCUGGGAGGCAAGGGUGUGGGCAAUCAAAAAAGGGGGAUAAUAAUUAGACAUGUGACUAAACAUUUCAUUGUUUUCCUUUCUACCUAGAAACUAACCAACCGACUUUCUAAAACCUCACUUAUUUAUGUCUGUAUUUUAAAAUCAGAGAUUAUCCCUUUGAACAUUUUCUCCAUUCUGGAAAGAUCAAUAAGUUCCUAAAAAGAACAGCAGUGAGACUCUCAAGCAUUUCAUACCUUAUCAGAGUGUGCAUUAGUAAUAUAGCUCCAAUUGCUUUCUCUCCUACUCACAACCCAGUGAAAACCAAUUGAUUUCAUUUCCAUAGGUUCAGUUAUUCAUUCUACAAACCUUUACUGAGCAACAACUAAGACACUAACUUGAGAAUGAUGCCAAAGACAUUCCUGUCCUCUUCUAUCACAGUUCUCAGCACUGUAUAUUAUAGUGGAUAGCCUCUGCCUACCCAUAGGCCAGGGGCUCCUCAAAGUGGAGACCAUGCUUUACUCACCUCUGUCACCUUGGCUUCCAGCAUAGCCUCACACAGCGCCAGACUGAAACCUAAUGCUUGAAGAUUUCAAGGGAAAGAGGUUUCAAAAAAUGUGGAUGAAUUGGCUGAAAAUAUUUUUGGACCCAUUCAUGGUUUCCUGAUAGUCUGAUCCUUUCCAGGGACUGAGCUGUAAAAGUCUCUGACAUCUCAGUGUAUAGACCUUCUGACAUGAUCCAGAAAGACACUGGAUCUCCUUGCUCAUAGUAGACUAACGCUGGGGAGAACCAUGUG